CUUUUUUCUACCCCCUUUUGAAUUAUUAAUAAAGAACUGGGGCAAGAGAAAGGCUACAGAACAUGUGAAGAGUAAAUGAGAGAGAGCAUGAGGGAGUGAAUGAGAGAGUAAAUGACAGAGCGAAUGUAAGAACAAAUGUGAGAGCAAAUGAGAGAGCAUGAGAAGAGCACGUGAAGAGUGAGUGGAGAGAGAAAGUGAUAGUGAAUGAGGGAGCUAAUGAGAGAGCGAGUCUGAGAACAAACGUGAGAGCCAGGGAGAGAGCAUGGGGAGAGCAUGUGAGAAUGAGUGAGGAGAGAACGUGAGGUGUGUGUGAAGACUGUGUGUGUGCGUGACAGGAGAGUGCAUGUGCUGUGUGUGAGAUAUGUGUGAGGUGUGUAUGAAGAGUGUGUGUGUGCGUGACAGGAGAGUGCAUGUGCUGUGUGUGAGAUAUGUAUGAGGUGUGUAUGAAGAGUGUGUGUGUGUGUGACAGGAGAGUGCAUGUGGUGUGUGUGAGAUGUGUAUGAGGUGUGUAUGAAGAGUGUGUGUGUGCGUGACAGGAGAGUGCAUGUGGUGUGUGUGAGAUAUGUAUGAGGUGUGUGUGAAGACUGUGUGUGUGCGUGACAGGAGAGUGCAUGUGCUGUGUGUGAGAUAUGUGUGAGGUGUGUAUGAAGAGUGUGUGUGUGCGUGACAGGAGAGUGCAUGUGGUGUGUGUGAGAUAUGUGUGAGGUGUGUAUGAAGACUGUGUGUGUGCGUGACAGGAGAGUGCAUGUGGUGUGUGUGAGAUGUGUGAGGUGUGUGUGAAGAGUGUGUGUGUGCGUGACAGGAGAGUGCAUGUGCUGUGUGUGAGAUAUGUAUGAGGUGUGGAUUCGAAAAAUGUGGUACAUCUACACAAUGGAGUACCACUCAGCUAUCAAAAACAAUGACUACG
rnacentral:lncRNA from 1 species